rnacentral:rRNA from 1 species
AACGAACGCUGGCGGCAUGCCUAACACAUGCAAGUCGAACGAGACCUUCGGGUCUAGUGGCGCACGGGUGCGUAACGCGUGGGAAUCUGCCCUUUGCUUCGGAAUAACAGUUAGAAAUGACUGCUAAUACCGGAUGAUGUCUUCGGACCAAAGAUUUAUCGGCAAAGGAUGAGCCCGCGUAGGAUUAGGUAGUUGGUGGGGUAAAGGCCUACCAAGCCGACGAUCCUUAGCUGGUCUGAGAGGAUGAUCAGCCACACUGGGACUGAGACACGGUCCAGACUCCUACGGGAGGCAGCAGUGGGGAAUAUUGGACAAUGGGCGAAAGCCUGAUCCAGCCAUGCCGCGUGUGUGAAGAAGGUCUUCGGAUUGUAAAGCACUUUAAGUUGGGAGGAAGGGUAGUAACCUUAAUACGUUGCUACUUUGACGUUACCGACAGAAUAAGCACCGGCUAACUUCGUGCCAGCAGCCGCGGUAAUGUGACUACUG